rnacentral:rRNA from 1 species
UACAGAGGGUGCGAGCGUUAAUCGGAAUUACUGGGCGUAAAGCGUGCGUAGGCGGUCGUGUAAGUCGGGUGUGAAAGCCCCGGGCUCAACCUGGGAAUUGCAUUCGAGACUGCACGGCUGGAGUGCGGAAGAGGGAAGCGGAAUUUCCGGUGUAGCGGUGAAAUGCGUAGAUAUCGGAAGGAACAUCAGUGGCGAAAGCGGCUUCCUGGUCCAGCACUGACGCUCAGGCACGAAAGCGCGGGGAGCAAACAGG